AACAAAGUGGGUGAAUUUUCCUGAAAGUUGUUUGAGCAAGAACAGGCUACCGGUCGAUAUUGGAUUUAUCAAUUAUCGGGAUCGGUUAAAAGUCUGUUAAGAUAAAGGAGCUUUCCAUGAAGUUGCGUUUAUUUUUCUUAUUACUGUGGAUACUGGUCAGAAGCUAGAAAGAGGUCAGCAAGGCUGGUUUUGAGACUAGCAUGGACAGGCAGUAGUGCGAAUGCGGCGCUCUAAAUUAGCCACACGAUCUGGUACAGUACAACUGCUUGUAACCUCAUGACUGCUACUCAACUUCUCAUCUAUCACUCAGACCAGAGAGAGCCCAGCAGACACCCUGGUGUGUCAUUCACAUUCUCAAAUCUUGUUUCGUUGAGAGCAGCAGCCUCAAAUUGUCAGAGACUUGGUUCUUGAUCAGCAAGCCGGGUGAUAGAGACAAACCCAAGAUGGUCCAUCCAACGUGUGUGUCCAUGGCGACCCUGCGGUCACAGCGGACUGGUGACACCGCUAAUAUGAAGGAUGUUACAAAUUCAUUAUCUAGUUGUCCAAGUAUUAAGUUAUUGUCCAGGCAUGACCAGGCAAUUAAGCCCACUGGCAAUGCUCAACUUAAGUACUUCCCAAAGGUUGCGGACUUUGGUGAUAUCAUUGCUUUUCUGUCCAGGCAGUCCUACCUGCCAGAACUGUCAAAGACUGGGACAAAGGACAUUGAGAAUAUUCCCAAAAAGACAAAGCCAGUGCCAUUGGAGAGGCAGAAGAAAAGAAAGGAGGAAAAGGAGAAAGUCUGUGAGGAAAACAUUGAGACAAAGGUCAACUCACCAUGCAUCAGAGUGACUAACAUUGACAACAGAGAUGCUGAAAAGAAUUUGGGAAAAGAGAGUGAAGAGGAGGUAAAGACGGUUGAACUGAAAACAAUAGACACCAACACGACCGGAGUUACCCCACCUCCUUUCAAAUUCACAGACCUUCUGGAUAUUACAAAAUCAAGAAGAAUCCAACGUUACCAGAACAGAACAAAGCCUACGGAAUCUCCUGACAAGAAUCGGGGACCGGUCGAAGGUCAAAACUCGCCGCAAUACUCAAGCAGGACCAAGCACAUCAUGAUUGAGACAUCUUUCCUUGAUAACUCACCGUACAUCAUCCCGGAGAAGAAACCAGAGAAGGAGAAGCUUCCAUUUGAUGAUAACAAAGAUGGGCCUCUCAUCAUCCCACUGGAUUCGGAGAAGGCUAAACUCUUUGAGAGUCUCAACAGCUAUACCCCUCAGGUGCCCUUUAUACCACCACCGCCCCUGUGGGGUAUGGUCAGCACCCAUCCCAGACAACCCAUGAUUGACCCACCCUCCUACAGCCCUCCAUCCAGUCCACCACCAUUCUACCAACCGCCCAGCCCGGAGUACACCAACCCACCGCCCCCUCUGGAGUUUGAUGGGAAUCGUUUCCGUAGCAACACACUCACCUAUCUUCAUGAGGUGAAAGACUACCUGACCAUGACCAAGAAAAGGAAUCAAGUCAAACAGAAAUGUAAGAUUGAUGCAUGUGAUCUUAAAGUAUUCUAGACAUUCUUUAUUGUGACAUGAAUUUUUUGUUGGAACAAUGCAAAUUACAAGAAAACCAUUUUCUUUACAGAGAUUUUAAGAAAAAAAACAUUUAACAAACUUUAAUUUGAUCAGAUGAAUAAUGUGAUAAUAUCAAGGAAAAAAUGACAACAAAAUAUCUUUGAAACACAAAUAACUUCUAAUUUUCAACCAGCAAAUUUUUAGAAAAUGUUCAUUGCAGACUUGUGGAUUUUCAAGUUUGGGAAAUGAAAUGAUUAGUCACUUUUAAACUUUGUAUUAGGCUUAGCUGCUGUUGUAUUAUUAAUAAAAAAAAAAAGAAAUAUGAUGAAUGGAAUAGAAAUCUCCAAUGAUGAUUUUAUGCAUCUGUUGUGAUAAAAAGCUGGAUUUGUGUAAAGUUUUUCCAACAUGGCAACAAGGGCCUGUUCUGGUGCUGUAGCUUGUUCAUUAGUUACAGAUUGAUGUUUGAUUGAGCACCUCAUCAUAUUGUUCUGUGGAGAUAAUUGUUCUUGUUCCUUUUCCUGUAUUUUAUUCAUAAAAAUUUGAUUCCUAUCAUAAUGUUCAAGAAUCUAUAGAUAAUUUCAUUAGUAUUUAUUCUGGUGGCCAAACUUCAUUUUAACCAUUGUCUGUUGUGCAAAAUAUGAAACAUGAUGAACAUGAACUAAACACUAAACACUAGCUUGAUUAUGUUUUCAUACAAAUAUAUUUUCAAAAUUUAUCUUCAAAAUUUGUAAUAAAUGGUUGUUUGAUUACCACAGAGCUGGAUUUAGAAGAUUCUUAAAAUGAAACAUUGCUAUAUUUUCAUCAUGCAUUAUAAAAAUAAAUAAUGCAUAUAUAUCAAAGGUUUGGAAGAAAAUCUGUUAAGCUUUUUUUCAUUAUUUUUUUUAUUCUGCCAAAAGAAUGCAGGUGUGAUAUUAAGCAAUUUGUACAAGAAUAAAUGGGUGAUAAAAACCUUUAUGUGAUACAAAUUUGCAGCAUUGCUGAAAUCAAGUAACUACUGUCAUCUAAGAAUAGUUUGUUGAAGUUUUCAAUUAUUACUCUGCAACCAUGUUUAAAGACUGUCUUCAGCUUUGCUAAACAGUCAGUAAUGUGUCAUCGAAUGUUACAAUAUUACAAAAACGUAAUGGUCAUUGAAUGGACUUUUGACCAAUUAGAAUUUAAAUAUGGCAUUCAUCUGGCAGUUGGGAUGUGAAUUUGAAUUUUUCUAGUGCCCUCUCUUCUUGGUAGGGUUUCUAUUUUUAUUUAAAGUGUCCAUUUGUGCACCUAUUUUGCAUAUUUAGUAUUAUACAUAGCUACUGACAAAGAUUACAUAUCCUGAAAUACAAACAAGACAAAAAAUGUGCAGAUUGAUUGGGCACCUGAUCAAAUUAAAAUCUGAUGUAAAAUUGGAAAAUUUCUCAAAAGAACAUGUUUUUAGUUUACAUCCUUCACACAACAACCGUUUCAGUGCACAUGAAUUGAUAUAAUCUAGUAAUGAAAUGGAAUAUUGAUAUUCGCUUUUAGGGGGAUUUACUAAAACUUAAGCUUUAAGCUUUAAUGUUAUCCCUAGUAUAACAUAGAAAUUUGUCAUUUAGACAGUCUUUGUCUUGGCUUCCGUGAAUAUGCUCUUCUAUAAUUUUGAAUUUAUUGAACACGAUAUCAAUUAUUAUCAAAAUGCAUAUGAUCGGCUUUACUUUCCUUUAAACUGCAGUGCAGACAGUAUGGGCAAGGCACGAUACAUUAGUUUAUCAAAAUAGGAUAAAUUGAAACCACUGGGAAUUAUGUGGAUGUAAACCAAAAAUGUAUCAGAUUUGUUUUUAUGUCUAUUCCAUAAUUCUUGCAUUACUGACAAUAUCAUCCAAUUAUUCUACACUUCUUUUGUCAUGAAAAAUGAAAGAGAUAGCCUGUAGUUCUAAAAACGUGAUUGCAUCUCUUUGUGUAAUACUGAUAUUGAUAAUCCAAAGGCUUAGAAUAUCCCCUUUAAGUUUGAUAACUAAUUUGUUUUCUGAAUAUAUUAUUAGAUUUACUAAUCAAGGCAUCGACAUAUACAAAUCCCUCUUUCCAAAGUCAGUUUGGAAAUUCAAUUUUCUCGGAGCAAGUUCAGCAAAUUUCCUCAACUAGGUGAUGUCAUCGAAAGGGUAGGGAGAGUUCGGCGAGAGAUCUGCAUGUUCGACUCAGAUACGGACAGUUCUAAUCUGGGUAGCUCAUUUCUCUGUUUAAUUCCCGGGCUUGAGGUUUGGGGUAUCGGGGAAGUCUCGGCGAGUGAUUGGCUGUCAGCUCUGAACGUUAGGCUCCAGAUAGAUUAGGACGGGUAUUUGAGUUGUCUUUGCUCUGCCCACUCCAAUAUUAAAUAGAGAAUCUUCAACAUGGAAAUGUUACCCUUUACUGCAUAGAGUCAAGUUGAAGUAUAAUUUUCACUUUCUUAAUAAUGACCCUGAGGGUAAAGAAUGAUUUAAGAAAAAAAUGUUUCCCUCUUUUUAGUAUAUGUAUCCAUAAAGCUUAUAAUUUGCCCUUCUAAUGCACUACUGUUCUUAAUUUCAAUGCAGACCAACUUUUGCAUUCAUUCAUAAAUAUACUGUUUCACUCAAAUGUGUCAUGAUUCAUUCAUAGAAAAAAAUCACCCGAAUUAUGUAUGUUAGUUAACUGUUAUGUUACUUUUUUAUUAAUGAAAUUCUUGAUUGAGAGAGCAGUGGUAAUGGAAAGAAUAGUUUCCUUUUCAGUAUUAGUUUUUAAAGAAAUGUACGUGUAUAAACAAUCAUUAAGUUUAGUGAUAGAUUUAAAGCAUUUGAAGGUUUGGAAAAUAAUCAAUUAAUGUGAAUUACAUUGAAGUACCAAAUAUGUAUCUUUAAAAAGUCAUAUGUUUUGUUUUCAUCGUUUAUAUCUGAUUGAUUCUUAGUGAAAAUAUGAAUGAUACAUUUGAGAAUAUUUAUUUCCCCUCAGUAGGUCUACAUAUUUAGUUUUCGAAAAGAUAAUUCGAACACCAAGUUUACAAAUUUAGUGGAACUCGCAUUUCAAAAAAGGUACAAAGAUUACAUUCCAAAAUUUUGAGCACAUUCCAUGCUGGAGAAUGGGUUUAAUAUGCAAUCAUUCUUAAGUUUGGCUGGGAUUUCAUGAUAGCAAAAUAAUCCAUUACAACAUAUUCUUAUCAUUCAAAUUCAUUUAUUUCACAUCUCUUAAAAAAACAGGGUACAAUACAUGCAUGGUGAAUUAAUGCAAUGAAAUAAAAACAACAAUGACAGUUGUACAAUUCAGAUGAAAAAUAACAAGAAACAUAAAAUAAUGAAUGGGAUGUUAGGGAGUAACAAAAGGCCAAUGGCCUAUCUAGGCUACUCCCUUUUCACAUUCAUUACUUAUUAUAGUAAAACAAAAAGAAGACAUUGUUAAUUUGUUAUUGUCUAUACAAUUAAGUGAUAAACUGAAAUUACCAGCACUUCAAUACAUGUGUAGUAAUGCAUUUAUCUGCAUUUGCCACUCUAUACCCACUAGUAAAUGGAUGCCUAAUAUGGGUACACAAUUUCCAGCUUUUGGGUGAUGGAUGGUAUAACAGCAAUGCAUUUGUUGUAUUUGUUUUAAUUCAAUUAAAAAACCUCUUUAAUAAACUUUAUUCCCAACUUCUGUCAUCAGUUUUCACAAAGGGUGGAAUGUUAUUUAAAAAAUUGUCUUUUUAAACAAUGGGUGAAUUUCUGCAAAGAAGAAAAAUAAUUGGAGGAAGGGUCUCACUCUGAAAAGGGGAAUUGAUUUAGCCAGUGCCAAAUUGGUGCAAAGGGCUACCCCUCCCAUGGAUCCAUACUUUAUCUUGACAAACUAUUGGGUUAAACAAUUGUAAUGAUAAAUUGUCUUCUAUCACACCAGGGUCCAGUUGCAUAUUAGUUACCAUUAUGGUAACUUUGCGAUCAUUGCAUGGUAACUUUCAUGGAAUCCUGAUUUUGAUUGGGUGUUGAUCAUCGUUCCCAUUGCAGUUACCAUUGGAUUGCAAAGUUACCAUAUGUACUCUUAUGCAACGGGGCCUAGAGC